CGGGGUGUAGCGCAGAUGGCCAGCGCGCCACGUUUGGGACGUGGAGGUCGGCGGUUCGAAGCCGCCCACCCCGA
rnacentral:tRNA from 1 species